GCUGUGCUUGGUUCUCCUCUGCGACGUCGUUUGGGGCAGUACAUCGUUUGGGGCAGUACAUAAUAUCUCUUCACGCCCCCCGCAAGAUAGAGUUGCCCUAAUUUUUAGGGAAACUCAUCUUGGAUAGAAGAGUCUGGAACUGCGCCGCUCCCAAGGGGUUCGUGAAGAGAUCGGCGAUCUGUUGCCGUGAGGGUACGUGCACCGUGGAAAUGAGGCCUCUGGUGAUCUGCUCGCGGACGAUAUGGCAGUCGAUGUCCAGGUGCUUCGUUCGUUCAUGAAAAACCGGGUUGGCCGCGAUAUGCUGAGCCGCUUGGUUGUCGCAGUGAAGCGGUAUAGGAAGUUGUGGAUCGGCGUGAAAUUCUUUCAUCAGGAUAUUAAGGAUGGUCCGAGGAAUAUGCAGAACCCAGUGAGAGAUUUCCGGGUCAUCGGACAAGAAGCCCAGUCAGCAUCGGAGAAAGCUCAGAGCUUGAGAUCGUUCUGAGCUGGGAAAAAUAACCCUCUUGUUGGACAACUCUUCAGAUAGCGAAGCACGUGAAGUGCGGCGUUCCAGUGUGGUUGACGCGGCUGUUGCAUGAACUGGCUGAGGUGCUGCGUCGCGUAGGAGAUGUCUGGCCUGGUAACUCCGAGAAAUAAUCCAGUCUCAGAACGUGCGAUCUGUAAUCCCAGAAAGUAUUUGACAUGUCCCAGAUCUUUGAUUGUGAAAGCUUUAUCAAGGUGAGAUUUCAUUUCUGUUAUAUCUUUUUCUGAUUGACCUGCUAGAAGAAUAUCAUCAACGUAAACUAACAAUGUUAAAAAUCUGCCUUCCUUUGUUCUUGUG